rnacentral:tRNA from 1 species
CGGAGCGUAGCGCAGCUUGGUAGCGCACUUGACUGGGGGUCAAGGGGUCGCAGGUUCGAAUCCUGUCGCUCCGA